UUUAUGGAGAGUUUGAUCCUGGCUCAGGAUGAACGCUGGCGGCGUGCCUAAUACAUGCAAGUCGAGCGAACAGAUAAGGAGCUUGCUCCUUUGACGUUAGCGGCGGACGGGUGAGUAACAC
rnacentral:rRNA from 1 species